rnacentral:lncRNA from 1 species
AACAGAGGCAGUUGUUCCAUCUUGUUUAAAAAAAGAUGGAUGGUUGUUUUGGCCAACGUGUGUCAAUGCAAUGAAAGCUACCUAUAAUAACUUUCUAAUCGUUGAUUUCUGCAACAAGCUUAGACUUAAUAGAGUUAAAGUAACUGGAGGUCGAUAAAUUUUACAAUAAAGAAGUAUGUGCAGGAUUUAAUUUCACGACUAAAGAGGUUUCCAAAGAAGAUUUUGAUUACCAGUAUAAAGUUAAUUAGUAAAGUUUUGGUGGAUCAAAGUUCAAGGAAUGAUUUGGUUUUAACUGGUUUGCAUCUUAUGAAUGAAGUAGAUAAUAUGAUUUAAGUUGAUGAUUUAUAGUUACACCUAUUGAAAAAUCACUUAUAAAAUGACUUGUGUUUUGUGCAACAAAAGUGUUGGAGAACUUUAUCAAGAAAGUUUAGUUGGAGAAAACCGAAUUGUUUGCCAUCAAUGUUUAAGUAGUUCUAGUGAUAUUCAUGAUCAUGAAGAGUUUAUUAUAUCAGCAUUUAGUAUGUUUACUAAACCUAAUUUAAAUGAAAUUGCAUCAUCACAGUUGCUCAAGUUAAUUUAUUCAGGCAAAUUAUAUAGUUACAGACAUAACUUAUUUAAAA